rnacentral:rRNA from 1 species
GACGAACCGUGCGAACGUUGUUCGGAAUCACUGGGCUUAAAGGGCGCGUAGGCGGCUUCGCAAGUCCGGGGUGAAAGCCCCCAGCUCAACUGGGGAAGUGCCUUGGAUACUGCGGGGCUCGAGGGAGGUAGGGGUGCGUGGAACUUCCGGUGGAGCGGUGAAAUGCGUUGAUAUCGGAAGGAACGCCAGUGGCGAAAGCGACGCACUGGACCUCUUCUGACGCUGAGGCGCGAAAGCCAGGGGAGCAAACGGG